GACUGAUCUAUCAACGUACAGCUCAAACUACUGGGCGGAUCAAGCUGAAUUUUGGCAUGCAGAUAGCUAUUAUGACGUAGACAUCCGCUAAGAAAGUACUUUUGAAAAUUCAUCCCCUAACAAUACAUUAGUGGUUCGAAAUUUAUGUAGUCACGCGUACAAAGUCGCGGGCAUAAGCUGGUAAAUU